CGGGAAGCCAGACCCAGAGCCGGAUGCGCCGCGAGGAGGAUGGAGUCUCUUGACAGCCUCCGGGGGCUGCUGUGACCUUUGACCAUCUGAUUCCAGAUUUUUUUCCUGCUCUUCUUUUUAUUUCCUCCCCUCGCCAUCCAUCCAUCCAUCGUGCAGUCAAUGACUGCCUCUCGCUCCGUUCCGAGAGAGGAGACCAUGAUUGAGUGAAGCCACCCUGUCUGCAACCAGGAAAAGCACAAAGAAGCACCUGCAGCAAUGGCCAAGCUGACAGAAUCCAUGACUAACGUCCUGGAGGGCGACUCCAUGGACCAGGACGUGGAGAGCCCCGUGGCCAUUCACCAGCCAAAGUUGCCUAAGCAGGCCAGGGACGACCUGCCGAGACACAUCUGCCGAGACCGGACCAAAAGGAAAAUCCAGAGGUACGUGCGGAAGGACGGGAAGUGCAACGUGCACCAUGGCAACGUGAGGGAGACCUACCGCUACCUGACCGACAUCUUCACCACCUUAGUCGACCUCAAGUGGAGGUUCAACCUGCUGAUCUUCGUCAUGGUUUACACAGUCACGUGGCUCUUUUUUGGGAUGAUCUGGUGGCUAAUAGCGUAUAUCCGAGGAGAUAUGGACCACAUAGAGGACCCGUCGUGGACUCCCUGCGUCACCAACCUCAACGGGUUCGUCUCUGCUUUUUUAUUCUCAAUAGAGACAGAAACCACCAUCGGUUAUGGCUACCGGGUCAUCACGGACAAGUGCCCGGAGGGGAUUAUUCUCCUCUUAGUCCAGUCGGUGUUGGGGUCCAUUGUCAAUGCAUUCAUGGUGGGAUGCAUGUUUGUCAAAAUAUCGCAACCCAAGAAGAGGGCAGAGACCCUGGUGUUCUCCACCCACGCGGUGAUCUCCAUGCGGGACGGGAAGCUGUGCCUGAUGUUUCGCGUCGGGGACCUCAGGAAUUCCCACAUCGUGGAGGCCUCCAUCCGAGCCAAGCUGAUCAAAUCCAAACAGACCUCAGAGGGGGAGUUCAUCCCCUUGAACCAGACGGACAUCAACGUCGGGUAUUACACCGGGGACGACCGGCUGUUCCUGGUGUCGCCUCUCAUCAUCAGUCACGAAAUCAACCAACAGAGUCCUUUCUGGGAAAUCUCCAAAGCCCAGCUGCCCAAAGAGGAACUGGAGAUCGUGGUCAUCCUGGAAGGAAUGGUGGAAGCCACAGGGAUGACAUGCCAAGCUCGGAGCUCCUACAUCACCAGCGAGAUCCUGUGGGGGUACCGGUUCACCCCGGUCCUGACGCUGGAGGACGGGUUCUAUGAAGUCGACUACAACAGCUUCCACGAGACCUAUGAGACCAGCACCCCCUCCCUCAGUGCCAAAGAGCUGGCUGAGCUGGCCAGCAGGGCAGAGCUGCCCCUCAGUUGGUCUGUGUCCAGCAAACUCAACCAACAUGCGGAACUGGAGACCGAAGAGGAAGAAAAGAACCUCGAGGAGCAAACAGAAAGGAAUGGUGAUGUGGCCAACCUCGAGAACGAGUCCAAAGUGUAGUCCCCCAGCCGGGCCUCUCCUCCCCAACCUUUCCCCAGGCCAGCCGCCCCUUCUCCUGUCCCCACAACCUUUCCUCUGGCCAGGCCACCCCUUCCCCUGUCCCCCCAACCUCUCCUUGUCUCUCAUCCUCCUGCUUUCUGCCUCUCUUACUUUGUUCUUCCUUUAUUUGUAUUUAAUUUUGGCAUUACCAGAAAACAAAUCUUCAAGGUGUAAAAUCUCUGCCUGCCCUCCCUCAGUUACUCUGAUUGAAGAGGUAGACACGAUUUGGUUAAGGUGUAAGGUGCCCUCGUUGAUGGCCCAAGCCUGUCUCCUUCCUAAAUUCCACACACCCAACUCCUAGAGAUUUAAGCUACUGACCUGCAUGUGCUGUACAAGACCAGAUCACUCACAAGAGUGUGGCGAACAUGUGACCUGGGAUACACAUUAGGCCCAGUGUCUGUUCGUUCCUGCAGUGAGACACAGAGGGUAGCCCUCACUUUCCUAGAUCCCCACACAGUUCAUCUCCAGGGCAGGUGCUUGCCCCCCAAGGGCAUCACAGGUGUAGGACCCAGGUGAGGCAAAGACAAAACACUGUACAUAUAUAUGCCUUAUGUAAGUAUUUUCUUUGGCAGUUAUUAAUAAAACCCAGCAUGUACAAAAGUACUGUAGAACACAACUUCUAAAUAAUGUACAUAGAUAUAUAAUUAGUGUAGGUUUAGAUAUAUAACUUUAGAAAUAAGAUGAAAGAAAAAAGAUUCUCACUGUACAGUAGGCAUUUCCGUUCUGAUGUCUUUUUCUGAAUUGCUUUGAUCCCAUUGACUGCUGGCCCUUUCGUGCAUGGCCUUUGUUCUGUGUCCCAGACUGGCAGCCCGUUCAGGUACCUCACUGUUCCCUCACUGAUCCUUUCGUUGAAUCUAAUAAGCCAUAGGUCUGGGGGGAGUUGGGAGGUCCAGCAGAUGGCAAAACGCACCACCAAUACACUGAUAUACUGUGAAAUGUUUACAAACUGAGGCCUCUUGUUUAAGACAACCAGGGCCUCACUGACCAGCCUGGGGAAGAAUUCCCCGAGGACAUUCUCGGGCUUGUCACCAAUGACAUGUUCAUGCUUUUCACACGAGCGCUCACCCUUUGUAGUUUGGGACACUCUUCUGCAAAACCACUGAUUCUCCAGCGGUUCCAUUCCGUAGUCACGAGAAACUACAGACUUUUACAAGGAGACAUGGCAGUCGCCCAUCAUCAAUAUCCACUGACUGGAGGCAAGUUCAUUGUCAGCUCCCACAGCUGUGCUCAGUUUGAGGCUCUGCACCGAGGAAGUCCAAGAACUCAAACUAGCCGUGCCUCCCUGUUGACCUUGCUCUCCCGCACCAGAUCACCCAGGCCUUCGCCAUAGUGGAGGGACCUUGUCUACUAAAAAGCGUGUGUGGGAGAUAAGGAGAGCGGCUCCUCAGUCUAUCACGGGGCCUCUCUUCUCCCAUUUCCAAGACUUUGCAUCAGGACAACUGCUUCUUGGCACUGACUUUCUGGAGAACAAACCUGUUGGCCAUAGCCCCUUCCUGUUUGCCAACAUCUCACUCUGCGUUGAAUAUCUGUUGAAUCGUUUAUUCUUUCCACACUCUGAGGAGGUUGCAGUCAAAGAGGAGGAGGGAGCCCCACACGCUUCCUGCCAGGCUGUGGGAGGGAUUGUGGCCUUUCCUCCAUGUACGUACGUACGUAGCCUUAUACAGGGCGCUCUUGACUCUUGGGCGCUCACCCUACAGCACCCCCAGAGCUGCAGGGCGUGGCCUGGUAGCACAAAGCGAAAUCGAGCAGGGGUUGCAAAAAGUCUGCUAAUUUAGCUCUUGAAGACUCACUGGGCCUUUUUAAAACAGUUACUAAGGCUUAAAGGACCACACACGCCCUGUUGUCUGGUGGGAACAGCAGCUCGGGGCCCGUUAGCACAACUGAACAAAGAGCCUGACAGCCCUUGGUCACGCACAUGGCGGUCGGUUCUGUCACGGUGACAGGGCCCCCCCGGGGUGAGGCCCUCCCUAUCCCCACUGUCUUUGGUGUCCAUGUAGUUGGAGACAGAACAUGAACCAAAUCUCGUUUUUGUAACGUGAGCCUCUGAGUCUCUCAACGAGGAUGUUCCAGAAGACCCUUUUACUAGAAUGUCCCGCGCAAACAUGUCUAUUUUUCUACAAUUAUUGAUAACAGUUUAACGGUGUAUUUUGUGUCAACUGUUCAAAUUUGGAACGG